GACGAACGCUGGCGGCGUGCUUAACACAUGCAAGUCGAACGAAGUGGCGAACGGGUGAGUAACGCGUAAUCAACCUGCCCUUCAGAGGGGGACAACAGUUGGAAACGACUGCUAAUACCGAAUACUGAAGGCGGAGAUUGCGUCUGAAUAGCUAGUUGGAGGGGUAACGGCCCACCCAGGAGAUGAUCAGUAGCCGGUCUGAGAGGAUGAACGGCCACAUUGGGACUGAGACACGGCCCAGACUCCUACGGGAUGCAGCAGUGGGGAAUCUUCCGCAAUGGGCGAAAGUCUGACGAAGCAACGCCGCGUGAGUGAUGACGGCCUUCGGGUUGUAAAGCUCAGUUAAGCGGGACGCGGUACCGGAAUAGAAAGCCACGGCUAACUACGUGCCAGCAGCCGCGGUAAUUC
rnacentral:rRNA from 1 species